rnacentral:rRNA from 1 species
UGCCCAUUACGUGGGCAACCUGCCUGUAAGACUGGGAUAACUUCCGGAAACCGGAGCUAAUACCGGAUAAUCCUUUUCUACUCAUGUAGAAAAGCUGAAAGACGGUUUACGCUGUCACUUACAGAUGGGCCCGCGGCGCAUUAGCUAGUUGGUGAGGUAACGGCUCACCAAGGCGACGAUGCGUAGCCGACCUGAAAGGGUGAUCGGCCACACUGGGACUGAGACACGGCCCACACUCCUACGGGAGGCAGCAGUAGGGAAUCUUCCGCAAUGGACGAAAGUCUGACGGAGCAACGCCGCGUGAGUGAUGAAGGUUUUCGGAUCGUAAAACUCUGUUGUUAGGGAAGAACAAGUACGAGAGUAACUGCUCGUACCUUGACGGUACCUAACCAGAAAGCCACGGCUAACUACGUGCCAGCAGCCGCGGUAAUACGUAGGUGGCAAGCGUUGUCCGGAAUUAUUGGGCGUAAAGCGCGCGCAGGCGGUCCUUUAAGUCUGAUGUGAAAGCCCACGG